rnacentral:rRNA from 1 species
UACGUAGGGGGCAAGCGUUGUCCGGAAUCAUUGGGCGUAAAGCGCGUGUAGGCGGCCCGGUAAGUCCGCUGUGAAAGUCGGGGGCUCAACCCUCGAAUGCCGGUGGAUACUGUCGGGCUAGAGUGCGGGAGAGGCGAGUGGAAUUCCUGGUGUAGCGGCGAAAUGCGCAGAUAUCAGGAGGAACACCAAUUGCGAAGGCAGCUCGCUGGAACGUAACUGACGCUGAGACGCGAAAGCGUGGGGAGCAAACAGG